AUGAAGUCCCUGUCUCUGCUCCUCGCUGUGGCUUUGGGCCUGGCGACCGCCGUCUCAGCAGGACCCGCGGUGAUCGAGUGUUGGUUCGUGGAGGAUGCGAGCGGAAAGGGCCUGGCCAAGAGACCCGGUGCACUGCUGUUGCGCCAGGGACCGGGGGAACCGCCGCCCCGGCCGGACCUCGACCCUGAGCUCUAUCUCAGUGUACACGACCCCGCGGGCGCCCUCCAGGCUGCCUUCAGGCGGUAUCCCCGGGGCGCCCCCGCACCACACUGCGAGAUGAGCCGCUUCGUGCCUCUCCCCGCCUCUGCGAAAUGGGCCAGCGGCCUGACCCCCGCGCAGAACUGCCCGCGGGCCCUGGAUGGGGCUUGGCUGAUGGUCAGCAUAUCCAGCCCAGUCCUCAGCCUCUCCAGCCUCUUGCGACCACAGCCAGAGCCUCAGCAGGAGCCUGUUCUCAUCACCAUGGCAACAGUGGUACUGACUGUCCUCACCCACACCCCUGCCCCUCGAGUGAGACUGGGACAAGAUGCUCUGCUGGACUUGAGCUUUGCCUACAUGCCCCCCACCUCCGAGGCCGCCUCAUCUCUGGCUCCGGGUCCCCCUCCCUUUGGGCUAGAGUGGCGACGCCAGCACCUGGGUAAGGGACAUCUGCUCCUGGCUGCAACUCCUGGGCUGAAUGGCCAGAUGCCAGCAGCCCAAGAAGGGGCCGUGGCAUUUGCUGCUUGGGAUGAUGAUGAGCCAUGGGGCCCAUGGACCGGAAAUGGGACCUUCUGGCUGCCUAGAGUUCAACCCUUUCAGGAGGGCACCUAUCUGGCCACCAUACACCUGCCAUACCUGCAAGGACAGGUCACCCUGGAGCUUGCUGUGUACAAACCCCCCAAAGUGUCCCUGAUGCCAGCAACCCUUGCACGGGCCGCCCCAGGGGAGGCACCCCCGGAAUUGCUCUGCCUUGUGUCCCACUUCUACCCUUCUGGGGGCCUGGAGGUGGAGUGGGAACUCCGGGGUGGCCCAGGGGGCCGCUCUCAGAAGGCCGAGGGGCAGAGGUGGCUCUCGGCCCUGCGCCACCAUUCCGAUGGCUCUGUCAGCCUCUCUGGGCACUUGCAGCCGCCCCCAGUCACCACUGAGCAGCAUGGGGCACGCUAUGCCUGUCGAAUUCACCAUCCCAGCCUGCCUGCCUCGGGGCGCAGCGCUGAGGUCACCCUGGAGGUAGCAGGUAAGAGCUGGGAGCUCUGCGGAAUCUGA
rnacentral:misc_RNA from 1 species